AGUGAACGCUGGCGGUAGGCCUAACACAUGCAGGUCGAACGGCAGCACAGGAGAGCUUGCUCUCUGGAUGGCGAGUGGCGGACGGGUGAGGAAUACAUCGGAAUCUACUCUGUCGUGGGGGAUAACGUAGGGAAACUUACGCUAAUACCGCAUACGACCUACGGGUGAAAGCAGGGGACCUUCGGGCCUUGCGCGAUUGAAUGAGCCGAUGUCGGAUUAGCUAGUUGGCGGGGUAAAGGCCCACCAAGGCGACGAUCCGUAGCUGGUCUGCGAGGAUGAUCAGCCACACUGGAACUGAGACACGGUCCAGACUCCUACGGGAGGCAGCAGUGGGGAAUAUUGGACAAUGGGCGCAAGCCUGAUCCAGCCAUACCGCGUGGGUGAAGAAGGCCUUCGGGUUGUAAAGCCCUUUUGUUGGGAAAGAAAUCCAGCUGGCUAAUACCCGGUUGGGAUGACGGUACCCAAAGAAUAAGCACCGGCUAACUUCGUGCCAGCAGCCGCCGUAA
rnacentral:rRNA from 1 species